AUGGAUUUAAAAAGUUGGGCUUUUCUACGGAAUCAAAAAGACAUAUCUGGUAGAAUCGUAACCAUAGCAUACGACCCUAAUCGAAAUGCAUACAUUUGUCUCAUCCACUAUGGGGAUGGUGAGAAGAGAUAUAUUUUACAUCCCAGAGGGGCUAUAAUUGGAGAUAUCAAAUAUUCGGAGAUGACUAUGAAAACACCUCUCUGGAUCCUCGAAUUGAAAGAGAGAUUGAGAGGGAUCAAGAAUCCUAAUUCUCGCUAUUCGGAACGGAUCCAAUUCUAUUGA
rnacentral:rRNA from 1 species